UACGGGGGGGGCAAGCGUUGUUCGGAAUUACUGGGCGUAAAGGGCUCGUAGGCGGCUCGUUAAGUCAGACGUGAAAGCCCUCGGCUUAACCGGGGAACGGCGUCUGAGACUGGCAAGCUUGAAUCCGGGAGAGGGAUGCGGAAUUCCAGGUGUAGCGGUGAAAUGCGUAGAGAUGCGGAGGAACACCGAUGGCGAAGGCAGCCCCCUGGGUCGACACUGACGCUCAGGCACGAAAGCGUGGGGAGCAAACAGG
rnacentral:rRNA from 1 species